rnacentral:rRNA from 1 species
AUUGAACGCUGGCGGCAUGCUUUACACAUGCAAGUCGAACGGUAACAGCACUUCGGUGGCUGACGAGUGGCGAACGGGUGAGUAAUACAUCGGAACGUGCCUAGUAGUGGGGGAUAACUACUCGAAAGAGUAGCUAAUACCGCAUGAGAUCUAAGGAUGAAAGCAGGGGACCUUCGGGCCUUGCGCUACUAGAGCGGCUGAUGGCAGAUUAGGUAGUUGGUGGGAUAAAAGCUUACCAAGCCGACGAUCUGUAGCUGGACUGAGAGGACGACCAGCCACACUGGGACUGAGACACGGCCCAGACUCCUACGGGAGGCAGCAGUGGGGAAUUUUGGACAAUGGGCGCAAGCCUGAUCCAGCAAUGCCGCGUGCAGGAUGAAGGCCUUCGGGUUGUAAACUGCUUUUGUACGGAACGAAAAGCCCUCUUCUAAUACAGGAGGGUCAUGACGGUACCGGAAGAAUAAGCACCGGCUAACUACGUG